CGGCUGGGGUUGUGACGUCACAGCAAGAUGGCGGCGUCUUGCGCGAGGAGCUUGGGGAAGGUCGGCCGGCUGAUUUCACACAGCAGGAGUUUCCCAGCCGGGAAUCCGGUGCUGCUUUCCGGGAGGAUCUCCGCGCGAGCUCACAGCGGCUCCGUGCACGGGUUUGCACGCGCCGUGAGGCGGACCGGAAGCGGCGGAGCGGCGCUCAGGUGUGCGUUCCUGCUCGGAGGUGGACUCGGCUUGUACCACACAGUUAAACACACGGUGCAGAGUCACCACGCUGACCAGCACAAGGCAGGUGAUGAGCGAUGGGAUCUGAAGCUGACGCUGUAUCAGUAUAAAACCUGUCCAUUCUGCAGUAAAGUGCGCGCCUUCCUGGACUACCAUGACCUCCCGUAUGAAGUGGUGGAGGUCAACCCCGUCAUGCGUCAGGAGAUCAAGUGGUCCACCUACAGAAAAGUUCCCAUCCUGAUGGUGAACGGGAGCGUGCAGCUGAAUGACUCAUCAGUGAUCAUCAGCACUCUGAUGACAUACCUGAUCAGCAGGGAGAAGAAUGUUCCGGAGAUCCUGGCCUGUUAUCCUGAGAUGAAGGCCAAGAACCACAGCGGCAAAGACGUGACCGAGUUCGGAAACAAGUACUGGGUGAUGGUGGAUGAGACCAAACACACACAGUUCUAUCCAGAGAAAACGUCCAGACAAGAGGAAAUAAAAUGGCGUAAGUGGGCAGACGACUGGCUGGUGCACCUCAUCUCCCCCAACGUGUACCGGACCCCGGCCGAGGCUCUGGCGUCCUUUGACUACAUCGUCCGCGAGGGAAAGUUCGGCGCCUUCGAGGGCUUCUUCGCCAAGUACGUGGGAGCGGCGGCCAUGUGGCUCAUCUCCAAACGCCUCAAGAGCAGGUCAGUAAAAGACACAAUCUGCAGGAUGAUGUGAGGCAGGACCUGUACAAGGCGGUGGAUGAGUGGGUGUCGGCCAUCGGCAAGAGCAAGAAAUUCAUGGGAGGAGAAAAACCCAACCUCGCCGAUCUGGCGGUGUUCGGUGUUCUGAGGGUCAUGGAGGGUCUUCAGGCUUUUGACGACAUGAUGGAGAACACAAAAGUGAAGAAGUGGUACGGACGCAUGCAGAAUGCCAUGCACCAUCAUCCCGAGUGACCGACACUGACACACACACGGUUCCUUUUGACAGAACGACUCAGGGCGGCGGUGUUUCAGGGGUCUGCAGUGAGAACUUGGGAAAUUCUCCUGACCAUCAUCUCUCAUUUCUUCUUGGGUCAUUCAUCCUCACUGGGCUUCACUUUAUCUGAUUCUGAACAUUUAUUCCUCUCUCCCUCUCUCUCUCUCUCUCUCUCUCUCUCCCCGUUAUAUAUCUAUUAAAUAAAGAGUAACGACGCUUCUGCCUCCUGGUCGGACUUUAUAAUUCUCCAUAAUUGACAUGUAAAGUAAUGCCACCCCUUCAACUGAGCACCAAAUGUGUCUCUCACACACACACACACACACACACACACACACACA